UGCUCGCAACCCACUGUUAAUCUGCCCAAUGGAAUUUGUCUUUAGUCUUUACUAUUAGUACAAAGAACAAUUUGUAUAGAUAGAAAACCUAUACUCGAGCUGCGUGCCAGUCAAAAUUGUACAUUUCGCAAAGCAUAUUUCGUUCAGCUGGACAAAUUAAUUUUCGGGCUUGUCUGAUUGCCACUCUUGGUCUUGGAGGCAUGGCUCAAACUGUUUGUUAUAGUGCGUUUGCAGUCUGUACUGUACUACAAAAGUUCACAUAAAAUUAAGUUAUGCGUAUAUGAACUAAGUCUAGUGAUAUUAAAAAU
rnacentral:lncRNA from 1 species